UACAGAGGUGGCAAGCGUUGUUCGGAAUUACUGGGCGUAAAGGGCGCGUAGGCGGCCUACUAAGUCAGACGUGAAAUCCCCCGGCUUAACCUGGGAACUGCGUCUGAUACUGGAAGGCUUGAGGAUGGGAGAGGGAUGUAGAAUUCCAGGUGUAGCGGUGAAAUGCGUAGAUAUCUGGAGGAACACCGGUGGCGAAGGCGGCAUCCUGGACCAAUAUUGACGCUGAGGAGCGAAAGCCAGGGGGAGCAAACGGG
rnacentral:rRNA from 1 species